CCUACGGGUGGCUGCAGUGGGGAAUAUUGGACAAUGGGGGGAACCCUGAUCCAGCGACGCCGCGUGAGUGAAGAAGUAUUUCGGUAUGUAAAGCUCUAUCAGCAGGGAAGAAAAUGACGGUACCUGACUAAGAAGCCCCGGCUAACUCCGUGCCAGCAGCCGCGGUAAUACGGAGGAUCCGAGCGUUAUCCGGAUUCAUUGGGUUUAAAGGGUGCGUAGGUUGUUUUAUAAGUUAGCGGUGAAAUACCGAUGCUCAACAUCGGGGCUGCCGCUAAUACGGUAGGACUAGAGAUCGGAUGCAGCAGGCGGAAGGUGUAGUGUAGCGGUGAAAUGCAUAGAUAUUACACAGAACACCGAUUGCGAAGGCAGCUUGCUAGGCCGGAUCUGACACUGAUGCACGAAAGCGUGGGGAUCGAACAGGAUUAGAUACCCGAGUAGUC
rnacentral:rRNA from 1 species